rnacentral:misc_RNA from 1 species
GAUGAAGAACGUAGCGAAAUGCGAUAAGUAAUGUGAAUUGCAGAAUUCAGUGAAUCAUCGAAUCUUUGAACGCACAUUGCGCCCGCCAGUAUUCUGGCGGGCAUGCCUGUUCGAGCGUAAUUUUCACCAUCAAGCUCUGCUUGUGUUGGGGUCCUGCGGCUGCCCGCAGGCCCUGAAACCCAGUGGCGGGCUCGCUAGUCACACCGAGCGCAGUAGCACAUCUCGCUCAGGGCGUGCGGCGGGUUCUUGCCGUAAAACAACCCCCCCUUUUCACCAAGGUUGACCUCGGAUCAGGUAGGAAUACCCGCUGAACUUAAGCAUAUCAAUAAGCGGAGGA